rnacentral:misc_RNA from 1 species
GAUGAAUAACGUAGCGAAAUGCGAUAAGUAAUGUGAAUUGCAGAAUUCAGUGAAUCAUCGAAUCUUUGAACGCACAUUGCGCCCGCCAGUAUUCUGGCGGGCAUGCCUGUCCGAGCGUCAUUUCAACCAUCAAGCCCCCGGGCUUGUGUUGGGGACCUGCGGCUGCCCGCAGGCCCUGAAAACCAGUGGCGGGCUCGCUGUCACACCGAGCGUAGUAGCAAUCACCUCGCUCAGGGCGUGCUGCGGGUUCCGGCCGUUAAACAGCCUUACAAAACCCAAGGUUGACCUCGGAUCAGGUAGGAAGACCCGCUGAACUUAAGCAUAUCAAUAAGCGGAGGA